AACAGGCAAGUGAUAAAUAAUGAAUUACAUGGAAAAACAUUGGUUUACAAUUACAUACAAAAACAAUUAAACAGUUCCGCUCCGCCUACAUGAUGGUCAUAUUAUCAAUAAGUUCUUUGUAUAAGUUCUUUGUAUGUUUGCAUGGCGAUAAAACAUAUAAUGGUUUGUUUGUGGAUAUAAUAUAGUAAUAUUAAGUCAUAUUAUCAUAUAUCUAUCAUGUAGGCGGAGCGGAACUGUUUAAUUGUUUUUGUAUGUAAUUGUAAACCAAUGUUUUUCCUUGUAAUUCAUUAUUUAUCACUUGCCCGUU